rnacentral:sRNA from 1 species
GAUACCGAUUUCGGCGAGUCUGUCGGAGACGACGCGGAUCAAUUGUCGAC